GUACACAAAAAUGCACAUGCUGUGAGCUCGAUGAGUAGGGCGGGACACGUGGUAUCCUGUCUGAAUAUGGGGGGACCAUCCUCCAAGGCUAAAUACUCCUGACUGACCGAUAGUGAACCAGUACCGUGAGGGAAAGGCGAAAAGAACCCCGGCGAGGGGAGUGAAAAAGAACCUGAAACCGUGUACGUACAAGCAGUGGGAGCACAGAGCAAUCUGUGUGACUGCGUACCUUUUGUAUAAUGGGUCAGCGACUUAUAUUCUGUAGCAAGGUUAACCGAAUAGGGGAGCCGAAGGGAAACCGAGUCUUAACUGGGCGUUAAGUUGCAGGGUAUAGACCCGAAACCCGGUGAUCUAGCCAUGGGCAGGUUGAAGGUUGGGUAACACUAACUGGAGGACCGAACCGACUAAUGUUGAAAAAUUAGCGGAUGACUUGUGGCUGGGGGUGAAAGGCCAAUCAAACCGGGAGAUAGCUGGUUCUCCCCGAAAGCUAUUUAGGUAGCGCCUCGUGAAUUCAUCUCCGGGGGUAGAGCACUGUUUCGGCAAGGGGGUCAUCCCGACUUACCAACCCGAUGCAAACUGCGAAUACCGGAGAAUGUUAUCACGGGAGACACACGGCGGGUGCUAACGUCCGUCGUGAAGAGGGAAACAACCCAGACCGCCAGCUAAGGUCCCAAAGUCAUGGUUAAGUGGGAAACGAUGUGGGAAGGCCCAGACAGCCAGGAUGUUGGCUUAGAAGCAGCCAUCAUUUAAAGAAAGCGUAAUAGCUCACUGGUCGAGUCGGCCUGCGCGGAAGAUGUAACGGGGCUAAACCAUGCACCGAAGCUGCGGCAGCGACACUAUGUGUUGUUGGGUAGGGGAGCGUUCUGUAAGCCUGUGAAGGUGUACUGUGAGGUAUGCUGGAGGUAUCAGAAGUGCGAAUGCUGACAUAAGUAACGAUAAAGCGGGUGAAAAGCCCGCUCGCCGGAAGACCAAGGGUUCCUGUCCAACGUUAAUCGGGGCAGGGUGAGUCGACCCCUAAGGCGAGGCCGAAAGGCGUAGUCGAUGGGAAACAGGUUAAUAUUCCUGUACUUGGUGUUACUGCGAAGGGGGGACGGAGAAGGCUAUGUUGGCCGGGCGACGGUUGUCCCGGUUUAAGCGUGUAGGCUGGUUUUCCAGGCAAAUCCGGAAAAUCAAGGCUGAGGCGUGAUGACGAGGCACUACGGUGCUGAAGCAACAAAUGCCCUGCUUCCAGGAAAAGCCUCUAAGCAUCAGGUAACAUCAAAUCGUACCCCAAACCGACACAGGUGGUCAGGUAGAGAAUACCAAGGCGCUUGAGAGAACUCGGGUGAAGGAACUAGGCAAAAUGGUGCCGUAACUUCGGGAGAAGGCACGCUGAUAUGUAGGUGAAGUCCCUCGCGGAUGGAGCUGAAAUCAGUCGAAGAUACCAGCUGGCUGCAACUGUUUAUUAAAAACACAGCACUGUGCAAACACGAAAGUGGACGUAUACGGUGUGACGCCUGCCCGGUGCCGGAAGGUUAAUUGAUGGGGUCAGCGCAAGCGAAGCUCUUGAUCGAAGCCCCGGUAAACGGCGGCCGUAACUAUAACGGUCCUAAGGUAGCGAAAUUCCUUGUCGGGUAAGUUCCGACCUGCACGAAUGGCGUAAUGAUGGCCAGGCUGUCUCCACCCGAGACUCAGUGAAAUUGAACUCGCUGUGAAGAUGCAGUGUACCCGCGGCAAGACGGAAAGACCCCGUGAACCUUUACUAUAGCUUGACACUGAACAUUGAGCCUUGAUGUGUAGGAUAGGUGGGAGGCUUUGAAGUGUGGACGCCAGUCUGCAUGGAGCCGACCUUGAAAUACCACCCUUUAAUGUUUGAUGUUCUAACGUUGACCCGUGAUCCGGGUUGCGGACAGUGUCUGGUGGGUAGUUUGACUGGGGCGGUCUCCUCCUAAAGAGUAACGGAGGAGCACGAAGGUUGGCUAAUCCUGGUCGGACAUCAGGAGGUUAGUGCAAUGGCAUAAGCCAGCUUGACUGCGAGCGUGACGGCGCGAGCAGGUGCGAAAGCAGGUCAUAGUGAUCCGGUGGUUCUGAAUGGAAGGGCCAUCGCUCAACGGAUAAAAGGUACUCCGGGGAUAACAGGCUGAUACCGCCCAAGAGUUCAUAUCGACGGCGGUGUUUGGCACCUCGAUGUCGGCUCAUCACAUCCUGGGGCUGAAGUAGGUCCCAAGGGUAUGGCUGUUCGCCAUUUAAAGUGGUACGCGAGCUGGGUUUAGAACGUCGUGAGACAGUUCGGUCCCUAUCUGCCGUGGGCGCUGGAGAACUGAGGGGGGCUGCUCCUAGUACGAGAGGACCGGAGUGGACGCAUCACUGGUGUUCGGGUUGUCAUGCCAAUGGCACUGCCCGGUAGCUAAAUGCGGAAGAGAUAAGUGCUGAAAGCAUCUAAGCACGAAACUUGCCCCGAGAUGAGUUCUCCCUGACCCUUUAAGGGUCCUGAAGGAACGUUGAAGACGACGACGUUGAUAGGCCG
rnacentral:rRNA from 1 species